rnacentral:rRNA from 1 species
UACGAAGGGUGCAAGCGUUACUCGGAAUUACUGGGCGUAAAGCGUGCGUAGGCGGUUUGUUAAGUCUGUCGUGAAAGCCCCAGGCUCAACCUGGGAAUGGCGAUGGAAACUGGCGAGCUAGAGUACGGUAGAGGAGAGUGGAAUUCCCGGUGUAGCAGUGAAAUGCGUAGAGAUCGGGAGGAACAUCAGUUGCGAAGGCGGCUCUCUGGACCAGUACUGACGCUGAGGCACGAAAGCGUGGGGAGCAAACAGG